rnacentral:rRNA from 1 species
GCCGUUGUUACCCGACAGCCGCAAGGUGCCGAAGGUAUGGNUGGUGAUUGGGAUG